rnacentral:lncRNA from 1 species
AAUGUGACAUCUAUGUCCAUGAGCAAAUCCAAUCAUCUUGGAACUGGGAGACGUAUAUAUUGAAGUGUUUUUCACCUGAUAAAGCUUUCUUUACUUAUUUCAGAUAGUUUUCGGAGGUCUAGUACUAAUAGACGGACAGUAUCUUCCUGGAAGAGGAUAUGGACGAAGACGAAUAUUCGGUCCUCGACGUAGGAUUUAUCCAAGAUACCCAGACCCUUAUGAGCCUCUACAUAUCAGGGAUCCGUAUCCUUCUAUUCCCGCACUGAGGCGGCCUUUCAUAAGAGAACCUUACAUUGAAGAUACAGUGCCUGUUGUUGGAAUACGGCGGCCAAAUGUUGUGAGAGACAGUUCUAGUGAUAGACGUCAAGAUAUUAAUGUAGUGAACACCAACAACAAUGUAGAAGUUAAUACAGGAUCGAAUAAUGUCGAUGUGAGUCAGACAGUCAGGCGUACAUGCAAUCCAUCGUGCGGACCUUAUUCUACAUGUACAGGAGGAGUGUGCCGCCCAAGCUUGGGAAUGAUGGGUGGAAUCGGGGAUGCAGGACUUUUUAUAUAACUGUUCAUAAAAUGGUGAUAUAGAGAUAACUUAUAAAUUAAUAUUUUAAUGUUGUAAACCGGCUCUAAUUCUCAUGUAGCAUAGGGAACUUUAGUAAACCGUGGACUAUUACAAAUAACUAGCAACUGAAUUUAGAGUUCCAUUUAACUAACUUUAAAGGGAAUAUCGUUUUCUACUUUUCAUCAUAUCCGCAAGGUCAAAAGUAUCACAACAAUAUCGUGCACUUUUAUAUAUUUAGAUGCAUACUGUAUGUGAAUGAAUUACAACAAAACUAAAUGCUUCUAUCAGUUCAGUUUCUAUUAUGUUAAGAAUUUAUAUUUUAUGUUUUGUUUUUGCAUAGAUUAUCUUGACAAUAUUUGAGUACUUUGUAUAAUACUUCUAUGUUUGUUUCUAUUCCUCCUGCUCAGAUUACUGUAAUAAUAAAUAUUUGUUCUAUUA